GACGAACGCUGGCGGCGUGCUUAACACAUGCAAGUCGAACGGAAAGGCCCUGCUUUUGUGGGGUGCUCGAGUGGCGAACGGGUGAGUAACACGUGAGUAACCUGCCCUUGACUUUGGGAUAACUUCAGGAAACUGGGGCUAAUACCGGAUAGGAGCUCCUGCUGCAUGGUGGGGGUUGGAAAGUUUCGGCGGUUGGGGAUGGACUCGCGGCUUAUCAGCUUGUUGGUGGGGUAGUGGCUUACCAAGGCUUUGACGGGUAGCCGGCCUGAGAGGGUGACCGGCCACAUUGGGACUGAGAUACGGCCCAGACUCCUACGGGAGGCAGCAGUGGGGAAUAUUGCACAAUGGGCGGAAGCCUGAUGCAGCAACGCCGCGUGCGGGAUGACGGCCUUCGGGUUGGAAACCGCUUUCGCCUGUGACGAAGCGUGAGUGACGGUAAUGGGUAAAGAAGCACCGGCUAACUACGU
rnacentral:rRNA from 1 species